AAACCUGGAUCAUUGCUGGCCCUUCACUGGCUCUCAGAUACCAUGCUAUUUCUUUUAGAGUAAAUAUCUUGGGAUUCUCAGAGCAGUGUAAUUAAUACCGGAAGUUGUAAUUAAUAUACACAAGUUGCACAGAUUUGAAAGGGAGAGACGCUGAUUUUAAUUUGAAUGGAAGAGCCCUUGAUGUCAGAAUUAUGAAGAAUUUGAACUAAGUGGAAUGUGGCAGUUUUUGCUUUUCUGUAAAACUUGCCUCUUUCCUUGGUCCUGGUCAUGUGAUUUAAGUAUUGGCCAAUGAGAUAUAAGCAGAAAUGUGUGUGACUUAUCCAAAGGAGCUGAGUUAGCCAAGGUGCAAGGCCUUUUCAUUCUACUUCACUUUCCUUCUUUUGUCCUCAGCUAGACAGGAUGGGUGGAGUUCCAGCAGCUAGUUUGGAGAAUGAGGUUGUCAGGAGGAGAGAAGCUGAAAUCACACAGUUUAAUGAGGAAAACAAAUGGUACUGUGUACUUACCUGUCAUCAAAUGUAAAGCAGGGCAUUUGUUACAUAUUUCACAGUGCCCAGAAGCCAAAGAGAAUGGUGGGAAAACCCAGAGACUGGAACCCUAGGUAGUCACUACCUGUGCCAAAGUGGAAGAGGGCAAAGUAAAAAGACAGAUGGCGCUGCUGGAACCCAGGGUGUGGCAUCAGAUGCAGAAGCUACCACACAAUUGGCCCGUUCAGCAGCAGCUGGAGACCCAGAGAUAGCAGAUGCUUCCAGGUGGCAGCUCAAGCCAGGAAGAUUUCCCCAAGCUCUGGUCAGUGCCUUGGGGCUGAACUCAGCAGGAAGCUCAGUGGCAUCUGGAAAGCCAGAGCUGGAUGGUGAAACAGAAAGACUGCAGGAGGCUGAGCCCUGAGGGCCAGGGAAUCAUGCAAACACUUCAGCCUCAGGUAGAACCUCGGCGCUGCCUUUCUUCGUCAUCUCCUGUGGUUUGCAGUCAACAAGCUUCAGAUUUUCUGGCCAUUGCUGCACUGGCCGAAAGACAGCAUCUGCGUGGGCAGUGGGAUAACCAGGAAGCCCAUCUCUGGCCGUCACUGGGCUGUGCCGAGGUGUGAUGAGUAAGCCACUUAAAGUGCACAUGGACAAGAAUCUUUUGCUGUUCAUGUGUUGAACAGAUUCCCUAGAUGCGAAGAGUAUGGAGAAAGAGCAAGGGAGUGGAAAAUUCUCACAAGUGGCUCAGUAGUGACAGAAUCGAGUGCAUUUCAAUAACUCUGAGAAAAAAAGCCCUAUGGAAACAGAAAAUCCGGCGCCAUUCCUGCACAUUCCGUGGUACACGUACUUAAGGCUAUUACUGUGUCUCCUCCCCUACACUAUUCUGAUUUUUAGAAAGACUCAUCAAGCUAGCAGGGCUUGCUUUCUUUGAAAACACUGUCAUGGUUGCUGUCCUUCCAAUUCUCUUUUUAAGUGACAAUUAAAGACUGGGUGACCAGGCAUGGCGCAUUCCUUCAAUGUCACAAUUCUGCUCUCGGCCCUGGUGGUCCUGCCACAACUGCUCAACAGCGAUUUUCUGAGAGACCGGCCUCACCACUACAUGCUGAAACAUGUCUGGGCCCAGCUUCCUGGUGCAGGAAGGCGACUCAAUUUCUUGUUUCCUCUCACAGUAGUGAAGAUGCAAACACAGUUGGAGCAGGAAAUCUGCAUAUGAAUUUGUAGACAAAAGCAUUUUGUAGGUUUGAGAAAAAAAAAAAAAAGAAAGAAAAAGGUGUCAUACAAAGUUUCCUUUAACAGCUAGUUAAAAAUGUCCCCAGAACUAUUCUGGAAACCUGAAAUCUCAGUGCUGCUAAGAGCACCUAUAUAGAAUUGGCGAGCACCUAGUUUUACAAUAGCAAUAUUUAGUAACUCACUAAUUGGGACACAUGGUACAGUGAUAGGAAAAAAAUCUGGAACUGGGGUUUAUUCUGCAUCUACGUGACCACGCUGCUGCCAAAAGGACUUCCUGCAAUUGUGCUCAACUUUAAGAAUGAGAGGACUGCUCAUGACCUCACGCUGGCCAGUUCUUCCUGGCCAGCAGCUAUAGGGGAAAGGGACCGAAGGCAUAUUCCCAACCAAAAUUCAACCCCAAUCCCACCUUCUCCGUAUAUCAGGGCUUAUUUUUUACUACCUGCUGUUCUGGCUUCAUGAAGAGUCAAGAAGAAAUGCAGGAAAUAAAAACACAAUGAGAAAAGAAAGGGAAGGAAAGAGGCCAGAGGAAGACGACUCAGAACCUCGAAAUCAAGCAAUGAAUUACAUCAUUCUUGAGAAUACAGCAGGUGAUCUAGAGCUGCAGGAAGGACAGAAAAUAGCUUUUCGUUGGCACUUCCUCCUUCCUACACAAGGGCUUAAUCCAUCCAAUGACAACCAUUCAUAUCCUGAGCGCUACAAAAAUGCUAAAGAACAAACCUUGCUGAAUCAAUGGGAACUCGCUGCUGCUGUGGGUAGAGGCUGGACUCAGGAAGUCAUCCGUCAGACCAGGAAGCAUAAAGGGCUUCUGACAGAAAAGGCAGAGAGGACCCUGUGUGCCCCUUAGCCUUGGAAACAGUCACCUGCAACCCUCACCCUAGUGGAAGCCAGGCAGGUAGACGGCACCCCUCCGUGGCAACUGCAGUGGGCGUUUGUGCUUACUGAAGUUAUUUGGCAUCCGUCUACCCAGCACCCACAUCUGCCUGCCUCAUUACUGCAGAUACAUUGCGCAGAGCAGACAGAGGUGGCUGGCGGAAUCCAACUCUAAAGAUGAACUUUGAAAAGAGAAAACUUUGCAAAGAGAAAACUUGGAAAGUUGGCAACGAGGUGGUCAGCUGAGUCCUAGGAAGUGGCGGUCACCGCAGACUGGCAUGGUGCAAAUGGAAAGGCCUAAGAAGGGAGAAGGUAUGAUUGGAAAAUAUUCCAUAUGUUUCAGUGAAAAAAAUACAGUAAAAGACACAUUGCCCUGAAUCCCCCUCAGAAUCUUUCCCCUCGCCUCUAAUACAUUUAUCCCAUCAGGCUUGCUACUUUCUGAAGCAGUUACCGAAGUCCUCUUUCGUGUCUUCAGCUGUGCUGUCAGAUGGAUGUCUUGAUGUCCUGAUCAUUUUGAUUUGGGGGAAGAGCCAGAGGUGCCAGGUUGCCAGAUGGAUGAGGAACCACCAUCACAUUUUUGCGAGCCUGGCUUUCCAAUGCAUGGUACUCAGCAGCAACAUUCACUAUAUUUUUGGUCACACCUGGUAAAGACACUCAGGAAAGAGGUCUUGCAGAAAAGCUUCAGAAAGUGGCAAGAAUUGCGGGAUGAGUGUGUUUCAAGUGUGUUGGUUUUGAGGAGGAGUCGUGGCAAUGCGUCUUCUACUAUAAUAAAGUGACUUUUAAUUUAGAAAUGUAACAUGAUUUUCAAAUACUCCUUAUAUACAUGAGACAGAAGGGAAAGGGAGGCGGAGAGCAGGACCGAGGGAGCAGCGUCCCUGCUGAGGAAGCUUUUCCACAGAGGCUGAGGGGUGAUAGGUGCCACCCUGGUGGGCAGAGGUGGUUGGCUCUGAGAUGCAUUUGUAGCUAGGCUCGCCUGUGCCUCGCUAUUGAAUAUGGUGGAGCUUGGAUGGCUCCAUUUGUACUGCAGCACAUUUUCAGGCCUGACUUUCUAAGCGGAAUCGUCACUACCUUGGAUAUCCCCCAGGACCUGUGCUAGGAGUCCACUGGACAGUCCAGAAACACACACUUGGCUCUGUCUCCCAGACUGUUACUAUGAUGUAGUGAAGAAGCUUCCAGAAUGACCCAAUCACGGUGUCCCCGUGCUUCAGCCUAGAUUUGUGUAAAGCAUCAGUGAGUGGCUUCCUCUUCCAUGAGAUCCCGUAAUAAUAAGCUGCCCUUGCCCCAGGCCCAAAAGCAAUGGAUCCAGCUGACCAUCGACUGAAGCUUCCAGAACCUUAAGCCUGUCCUCUUUUUUUAUGUUGAUUGUCUCCAGUGUUUUGUUAUAGUAGUGAACAACUGACACAAGUACUGUGCUCUUAUCUUCAGUGUCUGCUGGAGUCUGUUUCAAUUUAGCUUUCUAGCUCUUCAGACCCACAUACGCAGAAGCACAGGGCUGCUUUGUUCCAACUGAACUAUCUGCCAAAAAUACACAUAUUGGAUUGGCCACAGCUUUUGUCACCCCAUGUGACUGUGUGUGUGAACAAUGAUUUCUUACUUUUUCCCCAGGACCUACCCCCUUAGUCGGGUGAAAUGUCACCUGCCUUUUGUGUCGUGUUCAAUCCAAAGUUUGUGUGCCAAGGUACUCAAAAUACUUGAAUUGAACUUAUGUUUUCUUUGUCUCAAGUAUAAGUUGAAAAGAAAUUAAUGCUUAGGGGAUCAAAUAUGUCCAGAGGCAGAUGGCCUAUAGGGGCAGGGUACUACUGAAAAGUAUUUGGGUACUCUUAGGACCCACGAUGAAGACAGAACUCAACAAACACAUACACAAAGAGUAGUAAAUUACUAACAAAGCAUUCAGGCUCUUGUGAUUCCAUAGCACUGUGCUUAGCAGGUAACACUGAGAUGAUUGGGGUUCCAUGGAAACCUUGGCUCCUCCGGGUCGGAAGCUUGCAUCAGAAGAGGAUGGAAGGAUGGAUGGCUAAACCAUCCUUCUGCCACCAUCGUUCUGCUUUCACUAGCUCUGCUUUUGGAAAUGUCACUCAAAACAGACACGACCCAGACACCCACACCUUACCCUGACAGCCAGCACGGGUGGUAGGCAGUGGUGGCCACAUCCCCACUCGAACCCUGCACUGUUUUUGCACAAAUAGCCAAUAGGAAAGCCUGCGACCUACACCUCCCACACCAAUCUCCCCAGACCUGGCAGACAGACAUGAAGACGUGAAAUGCACAGCCGCACUGGCUGCAUUCUGCCUCAGUGGAGCGAGUGGUUAUAUCUGGGACCCGCACACCACAUUUGAAUUCAAUUCAUCCCUGCUGCUUGGAAUACUAGAGGUGAAGUGAAGAAACCACCCCAAGCACUUUAAACUAUGAUUUGUGCAAGAAUUUUGGCUGAUUCUCCUACUUAAACAAGAGUGUCUGAGUAGUAUUACUAGCAUUUUCUUAAAAAAAAAAAAAAAAUACAGUUGUUUGAUUUUAGGGACAUGGGUUCGAAUUCCACUCCUGCCUGCACCUUUGACAUUUAGAGCAAAAUCUCUCUGUAACUAAGCAACAUGGCUUUGCCUGGAACAAAAGGACCCCCGCAUCACCUUCUCAGGACAAAGCUGGCCAUUCUUCUUCUUGGACGCACAAGCAUUAUUACCUUCACAGUCUCCGUUUUCCCACAGGGCCAAAGCCCCAGUUCCUCUGUUUGCUUCCUGGAAUUAGCUUUUCACUAAGGCUCUCUUUCUCUGUGAGUUCCUCCCUUAGGGAGAGAAUGCGAGAAGCCAGCUCUCCGUGCAGUUCCCAUAGCUUCGCCCCUCACCCAGAAAAUCUCCAGCAUCGCAGACUUAGCAGGCCAGUGCCAAGGCGUCGAUGCCAAAAUGGAUUUUUAGAAAUCUUAAUUCAGUCUGCAGGGCAGAGAUUACAUCAUCGGUAUUUUCAUCAUCGUCACUUUCUUUUAAUGUGAUCAUUUGUUCAACUAAAAGGAAAAAAACAUGUAAAUGUAAGCAGAAGGUGUUUACUAUACGCUGCCUCAAAGACACACAGAGUCAAGUGCAAUCUAUGUUACAUUUCUCCUAAGACAGUUUUCCCGGGGAAGUGGAGACUGAAAUUUUGUGGCAUAUGGAGAAGGAAAGGGGACUCUCAGGUCCUUGGACCCAAAGCUGAUUAAGAAAGAAGAGCUCCUUUUUCUUUCUGUGGCUUCAUAGGAACAUAAGUCAGAAGGGAAGGGACAUUAAGUAUUACCGGAAGUCCAGAUCUGAGCAGCUCUUUUCUGUUGCAAGGGGAUACCUGGGAAAUGGGACUGUGUUUCUUCAUCCAAAAGUUAACUUUAUUAAGACAUGAAGGCAAUGGGUGUUGUUCUGAAAAGCAUUUAAAUUUGCAUUUGAAAACCUAAAUUGUCUUAAAUUGUCCAAAGUGCAGAGAAAUACAGUAAAAAUUCAACUUUGCUAAGUCUUUUGGAAAUUCUUGGGUCACUCUGAUAUUCUCACCCUAGAUGUAUACUCUAAAUUUUUCUGUAGAGUUACAUACAGGAUAGAAAACAUCACUGUAAGUUAUGCGCCAACGCCCCCAGUUUAUUUAAUUGAGCCUCCCUUGUUUGUACACCUCAGUAUUUGCACCACUUUUCAGGAAAUACCUUACGUCGCUUUCCAAGAAGCAUGACCACAGCAAAUGGCUUCACCUGCUUUUGCUCCAUUAGUUGCCGGCUGAGGGUAAUAAUUGUAUUUUCUCUGGCAAACACUUGUAAUUCGCUACCCAGCAACUAUUCCCUCCUUUUUAAUUUCAGGAUCCGGACUCGUUUGGGGCGGGGGGGGGGCACAGGAAAGGCCAGUAUUGCCCUAGCCAUGGCAGACAAAAGAGUGACUGGAGUCUGCAGGGCUGCAGUGACCUCUCCCUUCCUAGAGAUCCGUGCAGCCCACGUAGUGCCACUAGUGGUGCGUUUACAGUUGGGCUUGCCCAGAAUUCUGGGGCCAGCUUUUAUCACCUCUAAAAUGCUGGGCAGGGUCCUUAAACCCUGCCUCAGAGACAGCAAUGCCUGCUCUAUAAAUGAGGCCAUGAAGAUGACAUGAAUUACUGGGCAUGGAGAACUCAGAGCAGUGCGUGGGAAUUAUUCAAUGCUCAGUAUGUGCUGCUAUUCAUGUUCUCUGCCUGUGAAGACUGCCCGUGGCUGUAUCCUAGGCGAAGCUUCAGGAAAGAGUUCUGCUUCUGUUCAGAAGACAAGGACUUUUGAGUCUGAUGCUAUCACGUGUGAGAUUGUGAUGGCUAGAGCUGUGGCAGCCACACUGGCACCAUGUGGAGUAGGUAAUAGGAGCUGCAAGGUCACCAAUGAGCACCCAGAGACUGACCUGCACCGCCGAUCUGUGGGUGGAAUCUCUUAUCUCCAGCACCCUUGACUAAUGAGAUAAUACAUUUAAAAUUGUUUAACCCAGAUAUGAACAGUCUUUCCACUACUUGGAACUAAUAGUCACUCAGUUACUUUCUCAAGUGUUAGUUUUAGGGUGUUUGUGUGGAUAAUAAAUCCAUAUUAUAUGAGAGUCCUUAGAAUAAAGCCUGGUCUAUAUUGAUGCUCAACUCCAGGAACCAUUGUCACUGUCACUGUAUUUGAUUACAUGUGUACUGCAGGGGGCUUUGGAGACAGGCUCUCACCAUGUAGCUCAGGCUGGUCUUGAACUCAUUAUGUAACCAGGCUGGCUUUGAAAAGUCAUGGCAAUCCUCCUGCCUCUGCUGCCUAUGUGCUGGAAAUACAGACAUGUGCCACCACACCUAGCUCUACAUGAGUAAUUACGUGUCUCAUGCAAAUUCCUAAACAAAACAGUUUCUGGGUAACACGGGUCACCCUUCAAAGUCACCCUGCCAAGGAGAUUCAUCCAAUCAAAUGAGAGGGUCCGCUUCCAGCAGGUGUUAUCAAACUUUUGUAACUCGUAGGUAAUAUUUUGUUAUUUUAAUUUUUACAUUUUAAUCAUGGGAGUGAAUUGUUUUUAAUAUUUUAAGCCAUUGGUAUAUUUCUGUCAUGAUUAGCAUAUAUUCGUGAUUUUGGCCCAUUCCUUUAUUGAAUUUUAAGAACUUUUUAGAUGUAAAGGAAAUCACUCCUGUGCAUUCCUGCAAAUACGUAUUUGUCAUUUGUUCUCAUAAAAAUAUAUUUUUGUCACAUGAAGAUUUUUAAUUUUGCAAUCACAUUUACCACCAUUACUUGCUUAUUUACCAAGGAAAACUCUCCCCAUCCAAGUUUGUCAACAGUAAAAGUAAACACAACACCUAUCUAGUAUUCUUUUUUAAAGAUUUGAUUCAUGAAUCUGUCAGUAUUUAAUAACAGAUAUAACUUUAUUUUCUUACAGAUGGCUGCCCAAUUUUCCUGAUACAAUUUAAAAAACAAAACCUCCCAUUUGCCCACUGAUGUUAUUUAAUUUAUCAUUUAUUUACUUAUUUUUGGUACCAAGAGUUGAACUCAGGACCUUGCAGUUGUCAGACAGGCAUUGUGUCACUGAACCUUGACCACUGACUUUAAUGGUAACCUUACGAUAUACUAAAGUUUCUAUUUCACUGUCCUAUUUGUGUAUAAUGUGCUGGUACCAACCUGUUUAGUGUAAAAAUACACUAUUUGUAAUAAUUGACUCAUAUGUCAGCUAUUAUUUCUAUUUUUACAAGCUUUCUGACUAAUCCCAUGUGCCACUUUUUCCAAGAUAACUUUAGAAUUUGCUUCUCUAAUUUAAAAUAUUCCCCUGGUAUUUUAAUCUGGAUUCCAUCCAGCUCAUUAGCUUGCAAACUGACCUCGUCACAGCUCUGCUGUCUCUUGUUCAAGAAUAAAGUGGGGAUUUUUGUUUUCUUUAGUAGCAUUUUAAAGUUUUCUUCAUAAAAAAAUCAUGUGAAAUUAAUAUUAAAAAUAAUUUGUUAAUAAUAAUAAAUAUGAAUUUCUUACUA